CUCCUACUGGAGGCAGCAGUGGGGGAUAUUGCACAAUGGGGGAAACCCUGAUGCAGCGACGCCGCGUGGAGGAAGAAGGUUUUCGGAUUGUAAACUCCUGUCGUUAGGGACGAUAAUGACGGUACCUAACAAGAAAGCACCGGCUAACUACGUGCCAGCAGCCGCGGUAAAACGUAGGGUGCAAGCGUUGUCCGGAAUUACUGGGUGUAAAGGGAGCGCAGGCGGACCGGCAAGUUGGAAGUGAAAACUAUGGGCUCAACCCAUAAAUUGCUUUCAAAACUGCUGGCCUUGAGUAGUGCAGAGGUAGGUGGAAUUCCCGGUGUAGCGGUGGAAUGCGUAGAUAUCGGGAGGAACACCAGUGGCGAAGGCGACCUACUGGGCACCAACUGACGCUGAGGCUCGAAAGCAUGGGUAGCAAACAGGAUUAGAUACCCUGGUAGUCCAUGCCGUAAACGAUGAUUACUAGGUGUUGGAGGAUUGACCCCUUCAGUGCCGCAGUUAACACAAUAAGUAAUCCACCUGGGGAGUACGACCGCAAGGUUGAAACUCAAAGGAAUUGACGGGGGCCCGCACAAGCAGUGGAGUAUGUGGUUUAAUUCGAAGCAACGCGAAGAACCUUACCAGGUCUUGACAUCCGAUGCAUAGUGCAGAGAUGCAUGAAGUCCUUCGGGACAUCGAGACAGGUGGUGCAUGGUUGUCGUCAGCUCGUGUCGUGAGAUGUUGGGUUAAGUCCCGCAACGAGCGCAACCCUUAUUGCCAGUUACUACGUAAGAGGACUCUGGCGAGACUGCCGUUGACAAAACGGAGGAAGGUGGGGAUGACGUCAAAUCAUCAUGCCCUUUAUGACCUGGGCUACACACGUACUACAAUGGCGUUUAACAAAGAGAAGCAAGACCGCGAGGUGGAGCAAAACUCAAAAACAACGUCUCAGUUCAGAUUGCAGGCUGCAACUCGCCUGCAUGAAGUCGGAAUUGCUAGUAAUCGCGGAUCAGCAUGCCGCGGUGAAUACGUUCCCGGGCCUUGUACACACCGC
rnacentral:rRNA from 1 species